AGGGUUCUUCUCUCUUUCUCUUUCUCUCUCUAUCUCUACUUCAUCUCCGAUUCGCCAUGUUUACAUGGUAUCAGAGCGUGGUUCUCCCUCUCGGAUGUAUCCUUUAUCUUCUCGGUUCUUCCGGUUUGGGUUUAUUGUAUUAUCGGUGGUAAUUUCUGGAUUUUUCAAGUUGUUGGUGAUGAUUUUUGAUUUUUUUAUGAUCUGUUGGUGAAAUCGGAGAUGGUUUGUUGUUGAUUCUUCAAGCGUGGUCGUUGGUGAUGAUUCUGGAUUUUUUCGAUCUGUUGGUGAAAUCGGAGAUGGUUUGUUGUUGAUUCUUCAAGCGUGGUGUUAGGGUGAACUUCCGACACCUCUCGUCCUUGAUUCCGCCUGCUUCUCCGAAAGCUAGGGUUUUCUGUGAACGAAGCUAGGGUUUUCUAUGCAAGCUAGGGUUUUCUCUGAACCUUUGAAGGCCGUUUCUUCUCCGGUAACCCUAUUCUCACUCUCGAUUAGAGCUUGCAUGUGUUUUGUUGCUGGAAUAUUUGUUGUAUCGUGUAGUUCAUAGAUAACAACAACAACAACAACAACCCAGUAUAAUCCCACUUAGUGGGGU
rnacentral:lncRNA from 1 species